rnacentral:rRNA from 1 species
UACGUAGGGGGCAAGCGUUAUCCGGAUUUAUUGGGUUUAAAGGGUGCGUAGGCGGGAUGCCAAGUCAGCGGUAAAAAUGCGGUGCUCAACGCCGUCGAGCCGUUGAAACUGGCGUUCUUGAGUGGGCGAGAAGUAUGCGGAAUGCGUGGUGUAGCGGUGAAAUGCAUAGAUAUCACGCAGAACUCCGAUUGCGAAGGCAGCAUACCGGCGCCCUACUGACGCUGAGGCACGAAAGCGUGGGUAUCGAACAGG